CCUACGGGCGGCAGCAGUGGGGGAUAUUGGACAAUGGGGGCAACCCUGAUCCAGCGACGCCGCGUGAGUGAAGAAGUAUUUCGGUAUGUAAAGCUCUAUCAGCAGGGGAGAAAGACAUGACGGUCCCUGAGUAAGAAGCCCCGGCUAAAUACGUGCCAGCAGCCGCGGUACUACGUAGGGGGCAAGCGUUAUCCGGAAUUACUGGGGUUACAGGGCGCGUGGACGGUAAUGCAAGUCUGGAGUAAAAGGCGGGGGCCCAAACCCCGGACUGCUCUGGAAACUGUGUAACUGGAGUGCAGGAGAGGCAGGCGGAAUUCCUGGUGUAGCGGUGAAAUGCGUAGAUAUUAGGAGGAACACCAGUGGCGAAGGCGGCCUGCUGGACUGUAACUGACGUUGAGGCUCGAAAGCGUGGGGAGCAAACAGGAUUAGAUACCCCUGUAGUC
rnacentral:rRNA from 1 species